GACGAACGCUGGCGGCGUGCUUAACACAUGCAAGUCGAGCGGUAAGGCCCUUUCGGGGAUACACGAGCGGCGAACGGGUGAGUAACACGUGGGUGACCUGCCCUCAGCUCUGGGAUAAGCCUGGGAAACCGGGUCUAAUACUGGAUAUGACUCCAUGACGCAUGUUGUGGGGUGGAAAGCCUUGUGCGGCUGAGGAUGGGCCCGCGGCCUAUCAGCUUGUUGGUGGGGUGAUGGCCUACCAAGGCGACGACGGGUAGCCGGCCUGAGAGGGCGACCGGCCACACUGGGACUGAGACACGGCCCAGACUCCUACGGGAGGCAGCAGUGGGGAAUCUUGCGCAAUGGGCGAAAGCCUGACGCAGCGACGCCGCGUGAGGGAUGACGGCCUCGGUU
rnacentral:rRNA from 1 species